rnacentral:rRNA from 1 species
UACGUAGGUGCGAGCGUUGUCCGGAAUUAUUGGGCGUAAAGGGCUCGUAGGCGGUUUGUCGCGUCGGAGUGAAACACCGGCUCAACCUGGGAAUGGCGAUGGAGACUGCAAGGCUAGAGUUUGGCAGAGGGGGUAGAAUUCCACGUGUAGCAGUGAAAUGCGUAGAUAUCGGAGGAAUACCGGUGGCGAAGGCGGCAUCCUGGACCGGAGUUGACACUGA